AUGCUUUAUAGUUUAAUGGUAAAACAUUAUACUUCUAAUAUAAUAAUUUAGGUUCGAUUCCUAAUAGGGCAUA
rnacentral:tRNA from 1 species